rnacentral:rRNA from 1 species
CACAGGUGCUGCAUGGCUGUCGUCAGCUCGUGUCGUGAGAUGUUCGGUUAAGUCCGCUAACGAGCGCAACCCUUGCUGUGUGUUACAUGUGUCACACGGGGACUGCCGGGUCUUUAAACCGGGAGGAAGGUGGGGAUGACGUCAAGUCAGCAUGGCCUUUAUGUCCUGGGCUACACACACGCUACAAUGGCCGGUACAAUAGGUUGCGAAGCCGCGAGGCGGAGCCAAUCCUCAAAGCCGGCCUCAGUUCAGAUUGCAGGCUGCAACCCGCCUGCAUGAAGAUGGAGUUGCUAGUAACCGCAGGUCAGCCAUACUGCGUUGAAUACGUUCCCGGGGCUU